rnacentral:rRNA from 1 species
UUCGUGGACACUGGUGACAGGUGGUGCAUGGUUGUCGUCAGCUCGUGUCGUGAGAUGUUGGGUUAAGUCCCGCAACGAGCGCAACCCUUGUCUUUAGUUGCCAUCAUUAAGUUGGGCACUCUAGAGAGACUGCCAGGGAUAACCUGGAGGAAGGUGGGGAUGACGUCAAAUCAUCAUGCCCCUUAUGCUUAGGGCUACACACGUGCUACAAUGGGUAGUACAGAGGGUUGCCAAGCCGUAAGGUGGAGCUAAUCCCUUAAAGCUACUCUCAGUUCGGAUUGUAGGCUGAAACUCGCCUACAUGAAGCUGGAGUUACUAGUAAUCGCAGAUCAGAAUGCUGCGGUGAAUGCGUUCCCGGGUCUUGUACACACCGCCCGUCACACCACGGGAGUUGGAGACGCCCGAAGCCGAUUAUCUAACCUUUUGGAAGAAGUCGUCGAAGGUGGAAUCAAUAACGGGGGUGAAGUCGUAACAAGGUAGCCGUAUCGGAAGGUGCGGCUGGAUCACCUCCUUUCUAAGGA